UCAAUAUAUAACUAACUGCUGGAACUUCUGCAUCUAGAUUUAGAAGUAUUUUAUAGUGUACUUUAUGCCAAAAGUAUGAGUGGCCUGCUUCCAUCGAUCUACCUAUAACCGUUCGAUGAAAAGAUGUGCUUUUGUAGCUCCCCAGACGCGCAUGCUUCUUCUCCCGGAUCUUCCACCGAUGCCCUCAAAAUAGAAAAAAGGAAAAGAAAACAUUCUCGAUGAUGAGCUUCGAUCAGUAAGGGGAACUCACCACGUUCACCAUCACAAGGAGUAGCAGCUGCACAUGUUCCUCCUGAGACCUCUCCAUGUCAUACGAAUUAUGCAUCUCCACGGCACCAACUUCCCAUGUUUGUUUCUACAACACUGCCUGGGCUCAUGCACUCUGCACUGAUGGUCGGAUUGCAGACGGAAAAUACCCAAACAUUCUACGGGUGUGAGGAGGGAUACGAGGAGGCGGCGGCAGAUGUUAUCCACAAGGAGUGCAAGCUCCUACUUCAGAACUGACGGCAUGAGGCUCGGGUGUAGUCUGUUCGAGACUACUACGCCGACCGUGGUAUCAAGAAGUCCAAGCAGGAUUGCCGCGAUAUUUUCUUGAGUAAGGAGCAGUACAUGAAGGCCCCUCAGAGAUGGUGUGCGGAUCGGAUGGAUUGUUGGGAGGUGUUGGUCAAUGGGUGGUGCUCAAAAGAAUGGCUGGCCACCCACAACGAGGCCAAGGACAAACGUG